AGUGAACGCUGGCGGUAGGCCUGACACAUGCAAGUCGAACGGCAGCACAGUAAGAGCUUGCUCUUACGGGUGGCGAGUGGCGGACGGGUGAGGAAUACAUCGGAAUCUACUUUUUCGUGGGGGAUAACGUAGGGAAACUUACGCUAAUACCGCAUACGACCUACGGGUGAAAGCAGGGGAUCUUCGGACCUUGCGCGAUUGAAUGAGCCGAUGUCGGAUUAGCUAGUUGGCGGGGUAAAGGCCCACCAAGGCGACGAUCCGUAGCUGGUCUGAGAGGAUGAUCAGCCACACUGGAACUGAGACACGGCCCAGACUCCUACGGGAGGCAGCAGUGGGGAAUAUUGGACAAUGGGCGCAAGCCUGAUCCAGCCAUACCGCGUGGGUGAAGAAGGCCUUCGGGUUGUAAAGCCCUUUUGUUGGGAAAGAAAAGCAGCAGGUUAAUACCCCGCUGUUCUGACGGUACCCAAAGAAUAAGCACCGGCUAACUUCGUG
rnacentral:rRNA from 1 species